rnacentral:lncRNA from 1 species
UUUUAAUUUGAACAUGACUCUGAUUCUAGAUUCUUUUAUAAAUUAAACAAAUUAAUUUUCAUUAUUCCUUUUUCUAUUCCGACAUAUUUUCGUUUCUAUUUUGAUUUCGAUUUUGAACCAAACAUGUCCUAAAAUGAAUGCAUCUUAUAAAAAGAGAAAACUUCAAAUAUCACCCAUGUGGUUUCGUAUUUUCUCACUUUAGUACCAUAUGGUUUAAAGUGUAUCACUUUCCUACCCUGUGAUUUUUUUUUUUUUUUUGUUAUCUCCUCUAUUAAUUUUUUUCGUUAACUCAGUGAUAAAGUUAAAACUAAAGGGUACUUGAAUGAAUAUUCGAUAAACUAUAGAUAGGGUAUUUGAAAUUUUUUAUAUAUGAUUUAACGAAAAGUUAACAGAGAAAGUGACAAAAAGAGAAAAAUAAAACUACAGGGUACUAAAUUCAUGCACUCUAAACUAUAGGAUACUAAAGUAAAAAAAUGUGAAACCACAGGGUGGUAUUUGAAGUUUACCCUAU